CCGCGACCCCAGGUCAGGCGGGACUACCCGCUGAGUUUAAGCAUAUCUAUAAGCGGAGGAAAAGAAACU
rnacentral:rRNA from 1 species